CAAAAAUGACAAUUGUGAUAACAACAAAUGAAAAUCAUCACAAAUUGGAGAACUCAUCAUCUUUGAAUAAAGACAGCAGCUCCAAGUAAUCCCAACCAAAUUGUCAAACCAAUCCACAAAGCUCGAUUUUUCUCUAACCCAGAGGGAGGUUUCCAUACAAGAAAGUCAGCAAGGUAAUCUUUAGACCAUGGAAGCUGAUUGGUGACUGGUCCACUUUUUCGAUCCUUGUCCUUGUAUUUAUCGCUCCAUGUUCCCGCAUAACUACAAUUAUGUCAUAAGACAUUCUUCAAUCAAUAUAUCUAAUAUAUAAUUUGCUCAAAUUCACAGAAGUAGCAUGAAGGAGAUAAAUCUCAUUUUUAAAUUUGCAAUGUAUAUGCAUUUAUAGUGUUCCUAAAUGGGUGUCUCUUUAAUUGGGAAACUGAAGCAUUAAGGAGAUAUAUUUCUGAUUUUCAAGAAACAAGGAAAUUAACUGAAACAGAAAUAUGAAUAGAAUAGGACAAAGAGACAAUAACUGUAUGAUACAAGUAGAGCAUAUUGGAGCAAAUCCAAUCCUCCUUAUACCCCUAAACCCUAUAAGCCAAAAAAAAGACAAAGAAAAAAGAUAGAGAUAAGACAAUGAAAUUUGCCUUUUUUUUCCUUCCACAGUUUCACAGCAAAUGAUUCGGCUACUACUAAUUAUAUGUCAUCAGUUUUUCUUCAGCAUCUAUAUAUAGAGGACAUAUAUUAAUGUUUCUUAUUGAGUUAAUUAUAAACAAUAGCAUCAUUGACAAUGUUUGUUAAAUAUCAGGGAGUACAUAUUUAGGCCUCCCUCUAAAAUAUGCAUAGAAAUACUAGGAAAUAAACUGUGGUAGCCAUGAAACUAGGGAAUAAUUUAGUCCAGGUGUAAGAUGUUAAUAGGCAGAGAAUGAAGAAGUAGAAUAUAGAAAUAUACUAUUCUUGAAAUGUGAAAUGGAAACCCUGGUAAAACCAAACUUUGCCCCCACAAUUUGCUGCAGCAAAGGUGAUUAUUUCGUAUCCUAUCAAUCUGCAAUUCUAUUUACAAAAAAAAAUUAAAUAAUAUUGAUUGUUGGUUAUCAUUCAGUUUAACCGUCAGUUCAACACCUCUGCACAGAGCAGUGGAUUCUGAAGAGCCAACAAUUACACCACUGCACCAUGAAAGCAAUGGAAUGACAUAACUUAAAAGUAAAUCACUUAUUUAGCAAUAAAACACACCACAUACAAAUCCUCCUAGCUUCGAUCCUAUUUCAUUUCAGGCUACAUUUUCCAUCUUAUAAGAGGAAUUCAAGAUUUAGUUAGGGAGGAACAAACAUGUGCCUCCUAACCAGCAAGUAAAGCAUUAUCAAUCAUCCAAAAACUCUUGAAACUGACCAGAAAGAAAGCAUAUUUGUUCAGUAAAACAUAAGUUGUAACAUUUUAAGAAUCCAAUUAGAUGGGAAUAAUGCUACACUAUGUCAAUAACUAUACAGCAAAUGGAAACAGACACAAAAAAUAGCAUUCUAAUUCACAUGAACGAGUCAACAAUCAAAUCACCUGUCAUAACUAGAACCAAUCAAGGGAAUAGUCACCAUUUCCUCCUGCGAUAUCUUGAGCUUUGGUGCUUGCAAAAUGUAUCGAAGCUCUGCAGCUUGGCGUUGAAUGCUAAUACACGGGUGAGUCUUUUCUAAUUGCUGGUACAGAGCAAUGCAAUCUUUAUGGCGGUUAUUAGCCUCAUAAGCCAUAGCCUUCUCUAACCCAGAGGGAGGUUUCCAUACAAGAAAGUCAGCAAGGUAAUCUUUAGACCAUGGAAGCUGAUUGGUGACUGGUCCACUUUUUCGAUCCUUGUCCUUGUAUUUAUCGCUCCAUGUUCCCGCAUAACUACAAUUAUGUCAUAAGACAUUCUUCAAUCAAUAUAUCUAAUAUAUAAUUUGCUCAAAUUCACAGAAGUAGCAUGAAGGAGAUAAAUCUCAUUUUUAAAUUUGCAAUGUAUAUGCAUUUAUAGUGUUCCUAAAUGGGUGUCUCUUUAAUUGGGAAACUGAAGCAUUAAGGAGAUAUAUUUCUGAUUUUCAAGAAACAAGGAAAUUAACUGAAACAGAAAUAUGAAUAGAAUAGGACAAAGAGACAAUAACUGUAUGAUACAAGUAGAGCAUAUUGGAGCAAAUCCAAUCCUCCUUAUACCCCUAAACCCUAUAAGCCAAAAAAAAGACAAAGAAAAAAGAUAGAGAUAAGACAAUGAAAUUUGCCUUUUUUUUCCUUCCACAGUUUCACAGCAAAUGAUUCGGCUACUACUAAUUAUAUGUCAUCAGUUUUUCUUCAGCAUCUAUAUAUAGAGGACAUAUAUUAAUGUUUCUUAUUGAGUUAAUUAUAAACAAUAGCAUCAUUGACAAUGUUUGUUAAAUAUCAGGGAGUACAUAUUUAGGCCUCCCUCUAAAAUAUGCAUAGAAAUACUAGGAAAUAAACUGUGGUAGCCAUGAAACUAGGGAAUAAUUUAGUCCAGGUGUAAGAUGUUAAUAGGCAGAGAAUGAAGAAGUAGAAUAUAGAAAUAUACUAUUCUUGAAAUGUGAAAUGGAAACCCUGGUAAAACCAAACUUUGCCCCCACAAUUUGCUGCAGCAAAGGUGAUUAUUUCGUAUCCUAUCAAUCUGCAAUUCUAUUUACAAAAAAAAAUUAAAUAAUAUUGAUUGUUGGUUAUCAUUCAGUUUAACCGUCAGUUCAACACCUCUGCACAGAGCAGUGGAUUCUGAAGAGCCAACAAUUACACCACUGCACCAUGAAAGCAAUGGAAUGACAUAACUUAAAAGUAAAUCACUUAUUUAGCAAUAAAACACACCACAUACAAAUCCUCCUAGCUUCGAUCCUAUUUCAUUUCAGGCUACAUUUUCCAUCUUAUAAGAGGAAUUCAAGAUUUAGUUAGGGAGGAACAAACAUGUGCCUCCUAACCAGCAAGUAAAGCAUUAUCAAUCAUCCAAAAACUCUUGAAACUGACCAGAAAGAAAGCAUAUUUGUUCAGUAAAACAUAAGUUGUAACAUUUUAAGAAUCCAAUUAGAUGGGAAUAAUGCUACACUAUGUCAAUAACUAUACAGCAAAUGGAAACAGACACAAAAAAUAGCAUUCUAAUUCACAUGAACGAGUCAACAAUC
rnacentral:lncRNA from 1 species